rnacentral:rRNA from 1 species
AGCGAACGCUGGCGGCAGGCCUAAAACAUGCAAGUCGAGCGCCGUAGCAAUACGGAGCGGCAGACGGGUGAGUAACACGUGGGAACGUACCCUUUGGUUCGGAACAACACAGGGAAACUUGUGCUAAUACCGGAUAAGCCCUUACGGGGAAAGAUUUAUCGCCGAAGGAUCGGCCCGCGUCUGAUUAGCUAGUUGGUGGGGUAAUGGCCCACCAAGGCUACGAUCAGUAGCUGGUCUGAGAGGAUGAUCAGCCACACUGGGACUGAGACACGGCCCAGACUCCUACGGGAGGCAGCAGUUAGGAAUCUUGGACAAUGGGCGCAAGCCUGAUCCAGCCAUGCCGCGUGAGUGAUGAAGGCCCUAGGGUUGUAAAGCUCUUUUACCCGGGAAGAUAAUGACUGUACCGGGAGAAUAAGCCCCGGCUAACUUCGUGCCAGCAGCCGCAGUAAU